AACGCACGAGACCUGCGGACCUGCGGAGGGAUCAUUACAAAUCUUAGGACCCCACUUGGGGGGGUCUAUAUGUUCGGGGCAGCAAUGCUUCGUUAACAUUUACGCUUGUAUGUUUGACAGAGUUAGUGUGAUUUUAUAACCCUAGACAACUUUCAACAAUGGAUCUCU
rnacentral:misc_RNA from 1 species